rnacentral:rRNA from 1 species
AUGGCGCAGGGCAGGUGGAAGCCAGUCAUAUGGAUGCGUCGCAAGAGGCUCCGAGACGACGCGCCUACUGAGGCUGAGGCGGAGGCGGUGGUGGGCGAGAGCUUCGACUUCGCCUUCGACAACGAGGCCUUCUCCGACCGGGUGCUGCGGGUAGAGGUCGUCGGCAGCGAGGAGGAAAAUGGCGCUGAUGGAAAAGGUAUUGACUCCUCCUGUACCGUGAUGGGUACACCAGUUUUACGAGUCAAUACCAUACAUGUUAGUUCGGCGAUUCUUGCUGCAAAAAGUCCUUUCUUUCUCAAGCUUUUCUCAAAUGGCAUGAAAGAGUCUGAUCAGAGACAUGCAACACUUACAAUUGCUGAUUCAGAAGAAAAGGCCUUCAUGGCGCUUUUACACUUAAUGUAUACCGGAAAGUUGACACCAACAACUGAGUCCACUCUUCUGGUUGAUAUGUUGAUGGCCGCGGACAAAUUUGAGGUUGUUUCUUGCAUGAAGCUUUGUAGUCAGGGGCUCAUAGACCUGCCUAUGACCCUAGAAUCGGCAGUGAGGUGCCUAGAUCUCCCAUGUACCAUUCCAUUGGCAGCUGCCAUCAAAGAGGCAGCCAAGACCUUCUUUGCUGAAACUUACAAGGAAUUCCUGUCAACAAAGUUCCAAGAUGAACUGAUGAGGGUCCCUCUUGCUGGAAUUCGGGCCAUCUUAUCAAGGAAUCACCUUGGGAUUGUAUCUGAAGGAGCCGUCUAUGAGUUCAUGCUUAGGUGGGCCUGUUCACAGUACUCUAAUUCAGAAGAAAGACACAAGAUUUUGAGUUCACGGUUACUUCCACUAGUCCCACGAGUCCUCAGUAUGAACGAUUCCAUUCUAAUUGAUCACCCGUCUGGUAUAAUUAACUUUACUAUCAAGCGUGAGAAGUGUUACGGGCUCUUCCCGUUAGGAUCGAUGCGUUCGCCGCCGUUCCAUUGUGCGGGGCGUCGCUUCUACCUCACGGCACGCUGUAUGGCGACGGAGCAGCUCCAGAUUUUCGGCCUUUCAGUAAAUAUGCUGGAAGACAAGGGGGCAGUAAGGGGGACAGUAGAUUAUAAGAUUGGGGUAAAGACAAGACCGUCGCUGCAGUUUGUCACCAAGCACAUCAGCAGCACCACCACCGAUAGUAAGCAACCUGUUGGAUGCAGGGUUCCUUGGUCGGAGUUCAUCGCUGAUGACAGCCCUUACUUCAUUGAUGACGAACUCCAUCUGCAAGUUCACGUGAAGAUAACACCACAGCCGGAGUGA